CCGGCGAUGUCCGAAUGGGGAAACCCAGUGCAAUUCGUUGCACUAUCGUUAACUGAAUACAUAGGUUAACGAGGCGAACCGGGGGAACUGAAACAUCUAAGUACCCCGAGGAAAAGAAAUCAACCGAGAUUCCCCCAGUAGCGGCGAGCGAACGGGGAGCAGCCCAGAGUCUGAAUCAGCUUGUGUGUUAGUGGAACGGUCUGGAAAGUCCGACGGUACAGGGUGAUAGUCCCGUACACCAAAAUGCACAGGCUGUGAACUCGAAGAGUAGGGCGGGACACGUGGUAUCCUGUCUGAAUAUGGGGGGACCAUCCUCCAAGGCUAAAUACUCCUGACUGACCGAUAGUGAACCAGUACCGUGAGGGAAAGGCGAAAAGAACCCCGGCGAGGGGAGUGAAAAAGAACCUGAAACCGUGUACGUACAAGCAGUGGGAGCACCUUCGGGUGUGACUGCGUACCUUUUGUAUAAUGGGUCAGCGACUUAUAUUCUGUAGCAAGGUUAACCGUAUAGGGGAGCCGCAGGGAAACCGAGUCUUAACUGGGCGUUAAGUUGCAGGGUAUAGACCCGAAACCCGGUGAUCUAGCCAUGGGCAGGUUGAAGGUUGGGUAACACUAACUGGAGGACCGAACCGACUAAUGUUGAAAAAUUAGCGGAUGACUUGUGGCUGGGGGUGAAAGGCCAAUCAAACCGGGAGAUAGCUGGUUCUCCCCGAAAGCUAUUUAGGUAGCGCCUCGUGAAUUCAUCUUCGGGGGUAGAGCACUGUUUCGGCUAGGGGGUCAUCCCGACUUACCAACCCGAUGCAAACUACGAAUACCGAAGAAUGUUAUCACGGGAGACACACGGCGGGUGCUAACGUCCGUCGUGAAGAGGGAAACAACCCAGACCGCCAGCUAAGGUCCCAAAGUCAUGGUUAAGUGGGAAACGAUGUGGGAAGGCACAGACAGCCAGGAUGUUGGCUUAGAAGCAGCCAUCAUUUAAAGAAAGCGUAAUAGCUCACUGGUCGAGUCGGCCUGCGCGGAAGAUGUAACGGGGCUAAACCAUGCACCGAAGCUGCGGCAGCGACACUAUGUGUUGUUGGGUAGGGGAGCGUUCUGUAAGCCUGCGAAGGUGUGCUGUGAGGCAUGCUGGAGGUAUCAGAAGUGCGAAUGCUGACAUAAGUAACGAUAAAGCGGGUGAAAAGCCCGCUCGCCGGAAGACCAAGGGUUCCUGUCCAACGUUAAUCGGGGCAGGGUGAGUCGACCCCUAAGGCGAGGCCGAAAGGCGUAGUCGAUGGGAAACAGGUUAAUAUUCCUGUACUUGGUGUUACUGCGAAGGGGGGACGGAGAAGGCUAUGUUAGCCGGGCGACGGUUGUCCCGGUUUAAGCAUGUAGGCUGGUUGUCCAGGCAAAUCCGGAUAAUCAAGGCUGAGGUGUGAUGACGAGGCACUACGGUGCUGAAGUAACAAAUGCCCUGCUUCCAGGAAAAGCCUCUAAGCAUCAGGUAACAUCAAAUCGUACCCCAAACCGACACAGGUGGUCAGGUAGAGAAUACCAAGGCGCUUGAGAGAACUCGGGUGAAGGAACUAGGCAAAAUGGUGCCGUAACUUCGGGAGAAGGCACGCUGGUGUGUAGGUGAAGUCCCUGCGGAUGGAGCUGAGACCAGUCGAAGAUACCAGCUGGCUGCAACUGUUUAUUAAAAACACAGCACUGUGCAAACACGAAAGUGGACGUAUACGGUGUGACGCCUGCCCGGUGCCGGAAGGUUAAUUGAUGGGGUUAUCCGUAAGGAGAAGCUCUUGAUCGAAGCCCCGGUAAACGGCGGCCGUAACUAUAACGGUCCUAAGGUAGCGAAAUUCCUUGUCGGGUAAGUUCCGACCUGCACGAAUGGCGUAAUGAUGGCCAGGCUGUCUCCACCCGAGACUCAGUGAAAUUGAACUCGCUGUGAAGAUGCAGUGUACCCGCGGCAAGACGGAAAGACCCCGUGAACCUUUACUAUAGCUUGACACUGAACAUUGAGCCUUGAUGUGUAGGAUAGGUGGGAGGCUUUGAAGCGUGGACGCCAGUCUGCGUGGAGCCAACCUUGAAAUACCACCCUUUAAUGUUUGAUGUUCUAACGUUGGCCCCUGACCGGGGUUGCGGACAGUGUCUGGUGGGUAGUUUGACUGGGGCGGUCUCCUCCCAAAGCGUAACGGAGGAGCACGAAGGUUAGCUAAUCCUGGUCGGACAUCAGGAGGUUAGUGCAAUGGCAUAAGCUAGCUUGACUGCGAGCGUGACGGCGCGAGCAGGUGCGAAAGCAGGUCAUAGUGAUCCGGUGGUUCUGAAUGGAAGGGCCAUCGCUCAACGGAUAAAAGGUACUCCGGGGAUAACAGGCUGAUACCGCCCAAGAGUUCAUAUCGACGGCGGUGUUUGGCACCUCGAUGUCGGCUCAUCACAUCCUGGGGCUGAAGUAGGUCCCAAGGGUAUGGCUGUUCGCCAUUUAAAGUGGUACGCGAGCUGGGUUUAGAACGUCGUGAGACAGUUCGGUCCCUAUCUGCCGUGGGCGCUGGAGAAUUGAGGGGGGCUGCUCCUAGUACGAGAGGACCGGAGUGGACGCAUCACUGGUGUUCGGGUUGUCAUGCCAAUGGCACUGCCCGGUAGCUAAAUGCGGAAGAGAUAAGUGCUGAAAGCAUCUAAGCACGAAACUUGCCCCGAGAUGAGUUCUCCCUGAGACUUUAAGUCUCCUGAAGGAACGUUGAAGACGACGACGUUGAUAGGCCGGGUGUGUAAGCGCAGCGAUGCGUUGAGCUAACCGGUACUAAUGAACCGUGAGGCUUAACCUU
rnacentral:rRNA from 1 species